rnacentral:rRNA from 1 species
UACGUAGGGUGCGAGCGUUGUCCGGAAUUAUUGGGCGUAAAGGGCUCGUAGGCGGUUUGUCGCGUCGGGAGUGAAAAUCCAGGGCUUAACUCUGGACUGGCUUCCGAUACGGGCAGACUAGAGGUAUGCAGGGGAGAACGGAAUUCCUGGUGUAGCGGUGAAAUGCGCAGAUAUCAGGAGGAACACCGGUGGCGAAGGCGGUUCUCUGGGCAUUACCUGACGCUGAGGAGCGAAAGCGUGGGGAGCAAACGGG